GGAUCAUUACCACACUUUAAAAACUGUCCACGUGAACUGUAAGCAAGUCUAGCGCUGUAACUGAUCUAGUGUUUUCCUAUUUUUGGGACACUGGAAUACAGGAUUCAGCAGGACGAAGGUUAGUCUCUCGUAAUGCAAAUUAGGAGGACUAGCUGAUGAACUUUUCUUUUUAAACCCUUACCUAAAUACUGAUUUAUACUGUGGGGACGAAAGUCCUUGCUUUUACUAGAUAACAACUUUCAGCAGUGGAUGUCUAGGCUCGCACAUCGAUGAAGAACGCUGCGAACUGCGAUACGUAAUGCGAAUUGCAGAAUUCAGUGAGUCAUCGAAAUUUUGAACGCAUAUUGCACUUUCGGGUUAUGCCUGGAAGUAUGUCUGUAUCAGUGUCCGUAAAUCAAACUUGCCUUUCUUUUUUUCUGUGUAGUCAGAGAUGGAAAAUGUGCAGAUGUGAAGUGUCUCGCAUGGUUGCGUUCGUUCGUUUUCGAUCGACAAUCUGUCGAGUCCUUUUAAAUGGACACGGUCUUUCUAUGGUUUCUAUGAAGUGUGAUGUUCGGAAGGCAGUGAUUUUCGGAUCAUUGGCGGCUUUUGGCGACUUCGGUAUAAACGUAUGGAGAUUACCUCAAUUCGCGGUAUGUUAGGCUUUGGCUCGACAAUGUUGCGUAAUUGUGUGUGGUCUUUGUUUGUGCCUUGAGGUGUACUAGAGGUUGUCGGUUUGAACUGUAAAUGAUUGUUUAGUAGGACAUUUUCGCGAUGUAUGGAGACGUUGCAUUUGGUUGCGUAGAGAGAUUGAUUUGGGAAAAUUCUGUACUUUUGGCAAUUGUUUGCUAAAUGUAUCUCAAUUGGACCUGAUAUCAGACAAGACUACCCGCUGAACUUA
rnacentral:rRNA from 1 species